rnacentral:tRNA from 1 species
CCCUGGUUAGCUCAGUUGGCAGAGCGCUCCACUUGCAAUGGAGAGGUUCCGGGUUCGAUACCCGGACCAGGCG